rnacentral:rRNA from 1 species
CGUGUAGGCGGCCAGGCAGGUCCGUUGUGAAAACUGGAGGCUCAACCUCCAGACGUCGAUGGAAACCGCUUGGCUAGAGUCCGGAAGAGGAGAGUGGAAUUCCUGGUGUAGCGGUGAAAUGCGCAGAUAUCAGGAAGAACACCGAUGGCGAAGGCAGCUCUCUGGGACGGUACUGACGCUGAGAGCGAAAGCGUGGGGAGCGAACA